CCCUUAGAUGUCCUGGGCCGCACGCGCGCUACACUGAGUGUCUGAGAUACGAGUCUGCCUGGUCCGGCAAGGUCUAGGUAAUCGCUAAAAGACACAUCAUGCUUGGGAUAGAUUAUUGCAAAUAUUAAUCUUGAACGAGGAAUUCCUAGUAAGCGCAAGUCAACAGCUUGCGUUGAUUACGUCCCUGCCCUUUGUACACACCGCCCGUCGCUACUACUGAUUGGAUGUUUAAGCGAGGUUCUCGAACUGCUAGCGACUUAGCUUCGGUGAGGUCGCAGUGUGGGAAGUAAACCUAGCUUUGGUGUCUAGAGGAAAUAAAAGUCGUAACA
rnacentral:rRNA from 1 species